rnacentral:snRNA from 1 species
AGCUUUGCGCAGUGGCAGUAUCGUAGCCAAUGAGGUUUAUCCAAGGUGCGAUUAUUGCUAAUUGAAAACUACUUGCAUCCGUAAACCACAUCCUUUCACGAUCUUGAAGGGGCAGUCACUGACGUCUUCCUUGCUUGCAUAGGGCUAGAAG